UACGUAGGGGGCUAGCGUUGUCCGGAAUCAUUGGGCGUAAAGAGCGUGUAGGCGGCCGCUUAAGUCCUGCGUGAAAUCUCGGAGCUCAACUCCGAGCGGUCGUGGGAACUGGCCGGCUUGAGUACGGAAGAGGGUCUCGGAAUUCCCGGUGUAGAGGUGAAAUUCGUAGAUAGUCGGGAGAACACCAGUGGCGAAGGCGGAGACCUGGGGCCGAUACUGACGCUGAGGUGCGAAAGCGUGGGGAGCAAACAGGG
rnacentral:rRNA from 1 species